GAUGAACGCUGGCGGCGUGCUUAAUACAUGCAAGUCGAGCGAAUGGAUUAAGAGCUUGCUCUUAUGAAGUUAGCGGCGGACGCGUGAGUAACACGUGGGUAACCUGCCCAUAAGACUGGGAUAACUCCGGGAAACCGGGGCUAAUACCGGAUAACAUUUUGAACCGCAUGGUUCGAAAUUGAAAGGCGGCUUCGGCUGUCACUUAUGGAUGGACUCGCGUCGCAGUAGCUAGUUGGUGAGGUAACGGCUCACCAAAGCAACGAGGCGUAGCCGACCUAAGAGGGUGAUCGGCCACAAUGGCACUGAGACACGGCACAGACUCAUACGGGAGGUAGCAGUAGGGAAUCUUUCGCAAUGGACGAAAGUCUGACGGAUCAACGCCGUGUGAGUGAUGAAGACUUUCGGGUCGUAAAACUCUGUUGUUAGGGAAGAACAAGUGCUAGUUGAAUAAGCUGGCACCUUGACGGUACCUAACCAGAAAGCCACGGCUAACUACGUGCCAGCCGCCGCAGUAA
rnacentral:rRNA from 1 species